ACAUUAUAGGCCCAGCAGCUUUUAUUCAUGUCCACCAGCUAGUUGCACAGAGAAUCAUGUGUACCUAACUAAGGAUGAUCUAGGAUAAGUAACUCCUGUUUUAUAUUGAGUAUUUUAGGGAAGUCUUUAAAAGACUUGUUUUAUAUCUAUAAAUCUAGGUUAUUACAAAUACAAGAAUUUUGUACCUUAAAUAAGCCUCAUUUCUAUUUCUUCUUCAUUAAUUCUCCAUCUAGUCUUGUGAAAAAAAAAA
rnacentral:lncRNA from 10 species